rnacentral:rRNA from 1 species
UACGGAGGGGGCAAGCGUUGUUCGGAAUCAUUGGGCGUAAAGAGUAUGUAGGCGGCUAUUUAAGUCAGACGUGUAAGCCCACGGCUCAACCGUGGAAUUGCGUUUGAAACUAUUUAGCUUGAGUUCAGGAGAGGAAGGCGGAAUUCCCAGUGUAGCGGUGAAAUGCAUUGAUAUUGGGAAGAACACCAGUGGCGAAGGCGGCCUUCUGGUCUGAUACUGACGCUGAGAUACGAAAGCCAGGGGAGCGAACGGG